rnacentral:rRNA from 1 species
GCUCUUUGGUGAUUCAUGAUAACUUAACGGAUCGCAUGGCCUUGCGCCGGCGACGGUUCAUUCAAAUUUCUGCCCUAUCAACUUUCGAUGGUAAGGUAUUGGCUUACCAUGGUUUCAACGGGUAACGGGGAAUUAGGGUUCGAUUCCGGAGAGGGAGCCUGAGAAACGGCUACCACAUCCAAGGAAGGCAGCAGGCGCGCAAAUUACCCAAUCCCGACACGGGGAGGUAGUGACAAUAAAUACUGAUACAGGGCUCUUUUGGGUCUUGUAAUCGGAAUGAGUACAAUUUAAACCCCUUAACGAGGAACAAUUGGAGGGCAAGUCUGGUGCCAGCAGCCGCGGUAAUUCCAGCUCCAAUAGCGUAUAUUAAAGUUGUUGCAGUUAAAAAGCUCGUAGUUGAACCUUGGGCCUGGCUGGCCGGUCCGCCUCACCGCGUGUACUGGUCCGGCCGGGCCUUUCCUUCUGGAGAGCCCCAUGCCCUUCACUGGGCGUGCGGGGGAACCAGGACUUUUACUUUGAAAAAAUUAGAGUGUUCAAAGCAGGCCUUUGCUCGAAUACGUUAGCAUGGAAUAAUAGAAUAGGACGUGCGGUCCUAUUUUGUUGGUUUCUAGGACCGCCGCAAUGAUUAAUAGGGAUAGUCGGGGGCAUCAGUAUUCAAUUGUCAGAGGUGAAAUUCUUGGAUUUAUUGAAGACUAACUACUGCGAAAGCAUUUGCCAAGGAUGUUUUCAUUAAUCAGUGAACGAAAGUUAGGGGAUCGAAGACGAUCAGAUACCGUCGUAGUCUUAACCGUAAACUAUGCCGACUAGGGAUCGGGCGAUGUUUCUAUCUUGACUCGCUCGGCACCUUACGAGAAAUCAAAGUUUUUGGGUUCUGGGGGGAGUAUGGUCGC